CCCUUAUACUGAUGAAGUGCAGAAAGUCUAGGAAGGGACAGUACAGGGACAGCGUCCGUCUUUAUGGGUAGACUGCCGUACGGAGAAGUAGUGGAUAAGCCACUAUGGGUUACCAGUGGAGUGAAGAAGUGUUCCUGAACCGUACUGACGGAUGUGCUGCAGCCUGUUAGGGUCAAGAGAGGGAUAGACUUGCACUUUGCAUUAACACUAAGUCAG
rnacentral:lncRNA from 1 species